rnacentral:rRNA from 1 species
GAUGAACGCUAGCUACAGGCUUAACACAUGCAAGUCGAGGGACCGGCGCACGGGUGAGUAACACGUAUCCAACCUGCCCUUUACUCGGGGAUAGCCUUUCGACAGAAAGAUUAAUACCCGAUAUAAAGGAUGGGGAUGCGUUCCAUUAGGUUGUUGGUGAGGUAACGGCCCACCAAGCCUUCGAUGGAUAGGGGUUCGGCGAGGAAGGUCCCCCACAUUGGAACUGAGACACGGUCCAAACUCCUACGGGAGGCAGCAGUGAGGAAUAUGGGUCAAGGGGCGUUAGCCUGAACCAGCCAAGUAGCGUGAAGGAUGAAGGCUUAUGGGUAUUAAACUUCUUUUAUAGAAGAAUAUGUAUUAUAUGAAUAAGGAUCGGCUAACUCCGUGCCAGCAGCCGCGGUAAUAC